CUCCUUCAUCGUCGAGGGACGUUCGGGGAAGGACCGGAGGUGGGACGCCGACGGCAGGGAGGUAGGUGAGGCGGAGGGUCCCGGAUCCGGCGACGAAGCCAUGGAUGUUCAACAAGAACAUCAUGUUCGCGUUCACCUCCGUGGGCUGCUGCUUCUCCAACAUCGUCUGCAAGAAGUGGUACAUCGACAUGAACAAUAGGGCUGGAGAGUUCAAGGAGCCGGAUUGGUUCUUGAACAGAAAGAAGGGUGGCAUGCUCGAAGGACUACACCUUUAUUUGGUUCCCAAAUUUUUCAUAAGAAUCUGCAACCGUAUGAGUGGCAAGUAAAUUUGGCAUAGUACAGUACUGCAGCGCACGGAGGAGCGGCGCAACCUGUGGCGCGAGCUGCUGUACAGGAGCGGCGGAGGGAUGGACCUUUUUGUUGUUCCCCGCUCACGAGCUGUUCUGGGUACGCGCUGUUCUUGGUGCGGUUUAGCUCAUGGGGAAAAUAAGCAGAUGUUUCUUCAAGUAAUUUGGGAUUUGGUCUUUAAGCUACGAUUCCACACCAAGAUUAUGUUCUCUGGAGCUAACCGUGCUGCUGUGCUGGACAGGUAGACGAGGGCCGGCCUGCUGCCGAUACAAGCCGUCGAGGUGGACGGCCAGCACUAAAUCAUUUGCAGGUAUCUAGAGUUACAUUCCGGUGGCUGAGAUGCAUAUAGUUGUUGGCUGUAGUUCCUUCCAUUUGCCCGCUCGACGCUGAGAUUGACCUUCUAUGUAGCAUGCAACACUCAGCUGGGAAAUGUACUUAUAGGAACUAAUCACUUACUUUGCUGAACUCAGUAUGCUGUCCAGUUUCCGCAGACAUUUGUCAACUGGCAAGAAGGUUGAAGGCACAUCGACUUGCUUCGAUUAAUUGCUGACAAUUCAACCAGAGGGAGCAGCAAGCGACGGAGGCUCCUACACCCCAGGGGCUCGCCUGGGUGGCCCAUGCCAGGGAAGAAAAUGACAGGGAAGCAACGGUGGCUGCUGGACGCAUGUCAUGCUGGCUCUUGAGAGUUGGAUCUUUCGCGGCCUUGACUGGAUGGCGGAAGAUGCGCCUCCCAGACGGCUGAGCAACUUCAGAUCCGGCUGGAAAGGGGGAAGGUUCACAUGGCGUGAUGUGAAGAUGUAGGUUACCCAAGAUGAACCUGAAUUUCUUGCUCCUGCUCAAAGGAAUAGGAACGUUUCCCGCAAAAAAAAGGAAUAGGACUGUACUCCUCCCAAAAGACAAAAGCAAGAGUAAGUAUUGCUUCUCACAUCUUAUAGAAAAUAAUCUCACAAAUCAAUUUUUCCCUUGAAAUAAGGUUCUUAGUGAGGGCUUCCUCUAAGAUGCUUUCAGAUUUUUGAUUAUCUAGCAUAUAUAUGCAGUGAAGAUGUCUCUCCUUUUUGGUACCACUCUGAAUAGGAUACAUGGUGUUCAUGUUUUGUUAGAUAAUUUUAUUCUUGUGUAGUUUGAUUUAAAAGAUGAUAGGUCAGAAUAACAGGAUGCGAUUAGUUUUGCUUUUGCUGCUGCUACACAUGAUUUUACUUUUGUUUUUGAUUGUUUCUUUUUCAGUUUCUUAAGGCUAGAACACUACAGUGAUUGAUUAAGCACCUGAAGGAUUAAUGAAGCUGCUUGGACUGAAUUUCUCUUUAAAAUACAUGGUGCUUGUUUGGGAUGAUUGGGCAUAAAUAGUUGGGAAUUGGUUUUCUAUUAUAUGCAAAGCUUCAAGCCUUGGGGUCUUGCUGACAUUAGUUGUUUCAAGUUCAGACCUUUUUCACCGCUGACUAUACUCUCUCAAGUUCUGGUAACGGCGGGAGGGAGGCAGAGCAGAGACAAACGGCGCAUUCCGUCAUGCAUGUGUGUGGAUUUGUAUCAUCCUACUACUGUGUUUCUUUGUUUUACAGUAAUAAAUAAAGAGAUGAAUCAGAUUUUCUUUGGUUCGUUAGCAAAAUUUUACACAUCAAGUAUUUUAUCUCA